AUCAUACUCAAAAAAAAGAGUUUGAUCCUGGCUCAGAAUGAACGCUAGCGAUAUGCUUAACACAUGCAAGUCGAACGUUGUUUUCGUUGUUACGUGUUGAAGGUCGCAUUCGGAGGAGAAACCCCUUUUUUUCUCCGAGCCGCUCAACUCAGUUGAGCCUGCGGCCUCCGAUCGACCGUGAAAACCGUUGAAAACAAAGUGGCGAACGGGCGAGUAAUAUGUGGGGAUCUGCCAAACAGUUCGGGCCAAAUCCCGAAUAAACGAAAGCUAAAAGGCGCUGUUUGAUGAGCCCACAAAGCAUCAGGUAGUUGGUUAGGUAAAGGCUGACCAAGCCAACGACGCUUAGCGGGUCUGUUAGGGCGAUCCGCCGCACUGGGACUGAGACACGGCCCAGACUCCCACGGGAGGCUGCAGUGGGGAAUCUUGGACAAUGGGCGAAAGCCUGAUCCAGCAAUAUGGCGUGAGUGAAGAAGGGCAAUGCAGCUUGUAAAGCUCUUUCGUCGAGUAUGCGAUUAUGACAAGACUCGAAGAAGAAGCCCCGGCUAACUCCGUGCCAGCAGCCGCGGUAAGACGGGGGGGGCAAGUGUUAUUCGGAAUGACUAGGCGUAAAGGGCACGUAGGCGGUGAAUCCAGUUGGAAGUGAAAGUCGCCAGCUCGACUGGCGGAAUGCUUUCAAAACCAAUUUACUAGAGUAAGGCAUAGAGGAAAGCGGAAUUUCGUGUGUAGCGAUAAAAUGCAAAAAUAUACGAAGGAACGCCAAAAGCGAAGGCAGCUUUCUGGUUCUUUAACCGACGCUAAAGUGCGAAAGCAUGGGGAGCAAACAGGAUUAGAUACCCUGGUAGUCCAUGCUGUAAACGAUGAGUGUUCGUUCUUGGUCUACUGAUAUCGCACUCUUUCGGUCCGAUUUAAGCUCGGCUUAAUGCUUAAAUUACCGCAAAGGUAGUGUGACUCGAUUGUUUCCUUCAAGUUCCAAUAAUCGUGAAAAAUAUGUGAUGAUCAGGGGCUGAGCUAACGCGUUAAACACUCCGCCUGGGGAGUACGGUCGCAAGGCUGAAACUGCGCAAAACCUUACCAGCCCUUGACAUACGAAUAAGUGUGCUUGUCCUUAACGGGAUGGUACGGAAAUUCAUACAGGUGUUGCAUGGCUGUCGUCAGCUCGUGUCUUGAGACGUUGGGUUAAGUCCUAUAACGAGCGCAACCCUCGUUUUGUGUUGCUAAGACAUGCUCUGGUUCAAUCCUUGACCACUGGAGACUGACGAAGACUACGCCGUGAAAAUGGGGGAUACCAAUGAGCUGAGUUGUUGCAAACGCCGUGUGGCCCAUUCCGAAAAGAAUAUGACCAUAAUACAAAGUUUUAAUACGGUACUCUCCGACGAACGAAGCUCUCGGAGCAUUGUACACUUCACACUGAGGAACUCAGUCUUAGUCAAAAUGAUUGACACUCCAAGCCAUGUGCUGCACUCACAAAAAACUGCCAGUGAUAUACUGGAGGAAGGUGGGGAUGACGUCAAGUCCGCAUGGCCCUUAUGGGCUGGGCUACACACGUGCUACAAUGGCAAUUACAAUUGGAAGCAAUGCCGUAAGGCGGAGCGAAUCCAGAAAGAUUGCCUAAGUUCGGAUUGUUCUCUGCAACUCGAGAACAUGAAGUUGGAAUCGCUAGUAAUCGCGGAUCAGCAUGCCGCGGUGAAUAAGUACUCGGGCCCUGUACAAACUGCCCGUCAAACCAUGGGAAUUGGUUUCGCCCGAAGCAGCCGACCAAAGAUCACCCAUUACUCGGGGUGUUCCACGCCGUUGUUGAGCGCGGUCUACUAGAGGCAUUGGUGAUCUUAUGUAGGAGACCAAGGUUGGGCCAUUGACUGAGGUUAAGUCGUAACAAGGUAGCCGCAGGGGAACCUGUGGCUGGAUUGACUCC
rnacentral:rRNA from 1 species